AGAAAUCUUGAUCCUUUGAUUUUCUUUUAAGCUUUUCUUUCAUUUUUUUUGGCCCUUCUGCUUUAAUUGCUUCUCGCGUAUGGUAUGAAUCAUGACUAGAAAAAAGGAUGCGACAGCUUUGCUCUGGGAAAAGGCUGCAGGAGUUUUGCUUCAACAAGUCCACGAGAGAUUUCUGGACAAGGCUUGGAGUACUGCUCCAACUUAAAUAAGGUAGGUGCCGUUCUAACACUCCAAAAUUUAUUAUUUGGCUAUAUUAUUUACCUGAAUAAUAUUUCUUUGUCUGAUUGUAUUGGGUGUGAGAAGUUUUGAGGUUAUCAAAAUUAGGAGCUAAGGUAUGUGUUAUGUUGAUAAGAAUACCAUAUCUUUCCUUCAAUCAUGAUUACAUAACUUAACAAAGAGAGAAGCUAAUGGCCUCCAGGUGUAUUCAGUAAUAAUGAUAACCUCAAAAAAUUUCCUUAUGUAAUUGUAAUGUGCAUUAAUUUUCAAUUCAUACAUUUGUGUAUAAGUUGAUUGAUAGAUGGAGAGACAUCAAUGGCUUCUUUUUCUGGUACAUGUCUAAAGCCUACGCUUAUGGUGAUUGCCGGAAUAUAUGAUAUAGUUGAGGCGGGGACGAAAGGCAAUGGAAGUUUUGCAUCUGAACAUAGUCAUUGUCACAAAGUACGGAAAGGAGAAUCAUUGGACUCUCAAUCAUGUUCUAUAUCCAUGCCUAAUAGGACAACUUUAUGAAGGU
rnacentral:lncRNA from 1 species